AUGGUCCCACCACCGGUGACAGUAAGACCUCUCACAGAUCUGAACAAAAUCCAGUGCCUAAUGGUAUCCUCUAUCCAGUAUGAUCUCUUUGGAGGAGCUACCAAAGUACCUUCAAUCUGGAAUUUGAAAGUUACAUGCUUCGUCAGGCAUUUCUUGCCCUUGGGGAUGAGCACAGUGCUAGGAUUCAAAGAGGAGCAAGCUGCAGCCCACGCCUUUGACAAUGCCUGCAAGAAGUGGAUGCGCAAGAAACCCAUGAUGUAUAACCUACUGGCUGGUGGAAGUAAUGAAUCAUCGUGCAACUUAUCAGUGCUAAUGACAAAUCAUCAGGGAAAGAAGGCAUGUGAUUGCAUUUGGACCUUUUCAGGUAGGUAUCUUAACAUUCAUGAACAGAGGUUUCAGUUACAGGAUCUUAGCUGA
rnacentral:rRNA from 1 species